AUAACAAUACAGGACUCUUUUGAGGCCCUGUAAUUGGAAUGAGUACACUUUAAAUCCUUUAACGAGGAUCUAUUGCAAGUCUGGGGGAGAGCGACUGACCCGUGCGUGCUCCAGCUGAAA